rnacentral:rRNA from 1 species
UACGGGGGGGGCAAGCGUUGUUCGGAAUUACUGGGCGUAAAGGGCUCGUAGGCGGCCCACUAAGUCCGACGUGAAAUCCCCAGGCUUAACUUGGGAACUGCGUCGGAUACUGGUGGGCUUGAAUCCGGGAGAGGGAUGCGGAAUUCCAGGUGUAGCGGUGAAAUGCGUAGAUAUCUGGAGGAACACCGGUGGCGAAGGCGGGUCUCUGGGCCGAUACUGACGCUGAGGAGCGAAAGCGUGGGGAGCGAACAGG